UAGGGAAUCUUCCGCAAUGGGCGAAAGCCUGACGGAGCAACGCCGCGUGAGUGAUGAAGGUCUUCGGAUCGUAAAACUCUGUUAUUAGGGAAGAACAAAUGUGUAAGUAACUAUGCACGUCUUGACGGUACCUAAUCAGAAAGCCACGGCUAACUACGUGCCAGCAGCCGCGGUAAUACGUAGGUGGCAAGCGUUAUCCGGAAUUAUUGGGCGUAAAGCGCGCGUAGGCGGUUCUUUAAGUCUGAUGUGAAAGCCCACGGCUCAACCGUGGAGGGUCAUUGGAAACUGGAAAACUUGAGUGCAGAAGAGGAAAGUGGAAUUCCAUGUGUAGCGGUGAAAUGCGCAGAGAUAUGGAGGAACACCAGUGGCGAAGGCGACUUUCUGGUCUGUAACUGACGCUGAUGUGCGAAAGCGUGGGGAUCAAACAGG
rnacentral:rRNA from 1 species